CCUACGGGAGGCAGCAGUGGGGAAUCUUAGACAAUGGGGGAAACCCUGAUCUAGCCAUGCCGCGUGGACGAUGAAGGCCUUAGGGUUGUAAAGUCCUUUCAGCUGGGAAGAUAAUGACGGUACCAGCAGAAGAAGCCCCGGCUAACUCCGUGCCAGCAGCCGCGGUAAUACGGAGGGGGCUAGCGUUGUUCGGAAUUACUGGGCGUAAAGCGCACGUAGGCGGAUCAGCAAGUUAGAGGUGAAAUCCCAGGGCUCAACCCUGGAACUGCCUUUAAAACUGUUGGUCUUGAGUUCGAGAGAGGUGAGUGGAAUUCCGAGUGUAGAGGUGAAAUUCGUAGAUAUUCGGAGGAACACCAGUGGCGAAGGCGGCUCACUGGCUCGAUACUGACGCUGAGGUGCGAAAGCGUGGGGAGCAAACAGGAUUAGAUACCCGUGUAGUC
rnacentral:rRNA from 1 species